rnacentral:rRNA from 1 species
CUGCCCACUGAUUUUAUUAAAGGGCUGCAGUAAAUUGACUGUACAAAGGUAGCAUAAUAAUUAGUCUUUUAAUUGAAGACUUGUAUGAAUGAUUUAAUGAAAUAUAAACUGUCUCUUUUUUAUAGUUAAAAAUUAAUUUUUUAGUAAAAAAGCUAAAAUUUUUUUAAAAGACGAGAAGACCCUAUAGAGUUUUAUAUUUAAUUUAAUUAUAAUUUUUUAUUAAUAUUAAAUAAAAAUUAAUUAAAAUAUUUUAUUGGGGUGAUAAAAAAAUAUAAUAAACUUUUUUUAUAAUAUAUAUAUAUAUAUAUAUAUAUAACAUUAAUUUAUGAAAAUAUGAUCCAUAAUUUAUGAUUAUAAGAAAAAAUUACCUUAGGGAUAACAGCGUAAUUUUUUUUUUUAGUUCAAAUAAAAAGAAAAGUUUGCGACCUCGAUGUUGGAUUAAGAUAAAAUUUAAAUGUAGAAGUUUAAAAUUU